UCAAAUUUGAAAUCUGGCUUCGGCCCGAGUUGUAAUUUGUAGAGGAUGCUUUUGGUGCGGUGCCUUCUGAGUUCCCUGGAACGGGACGCCUUAGAGGGUGAGAGCCCCGUAAAGUUGGACACCAAGCCUAUGUAAAGCUCCUUCGACGAGUCGAGUAGUUUGGGAAUGCUGCUCAAAAUGGGAGGUAAAUUUCUUCUAAAGCUAAAUACCGGCCAGAGACCGAUAGCGCACAAGUAGAGUGAUCGAAAGAUGAAAAGCACUUUGAAAAGAGGGUUAAACAGUACGUGAAAUUGUUGAAAGGGAAGCGCUCAUGACCAGACUUGUGCCCUGCGGAUCAUCCAGCCUUCUGGCUGGUGCACUUCGCUUGGUUCAGGCCAGCAUCGGUUCUCUGAGGGGGAUAAAAGCUUCAGGAACGUAGCUCUCUCGGGAGCAUUAUAGCCUGUUGCAGAAUACC
rnacentral:rRNA from 2 species